CAACCUGCCUUUCAGAGGGGGACAAGCAGUUGGAACCGACUGCUAAUGCCGCAUACGAUCUAAUCUCGGCAUCGAGGAUAGAUGAAAGGUGGCCUGUACAUGUAAGCUAUCACUGAAGGAGGGGAUUGCGUCUGAUUAGCUAGUUGGAGGGGUAACGGCCCACCAAGGCGAUGAUCAGUAGCCGGUCUGAGAGGAUGAACGGCCACAUUGGGACUGAGACACGGCCCAGACUCCUACGGGAGGCAGCAGUGGGGAAUCUUCCGCAAUGGACGAAAGUCUGACGGAGCAACGCCGCGUGAGUGAUGACGGCCUUCGGGUUGUAAAGCUCUGUUAAUCGGGACGAAAGGCCUUCUUGCGAAU
rnacentral:rRNA from 1 species